rnacentral:sRNA from 1 species
CUGGUGCCCAAAAAGUGUCAGCCACUCUGCCAGUUUAGGGGAGAAAACUUCUCACCUGUCCAAAGCAUAGCCUUGCUCCUGCCUGCCCUACCCAGCUAUGACACUGUCCCUGAGCAGAGAUGAGCACAGGACUUUGGGCCCUGGAUGCCGGAGAGUGGGUGUUUGUGUGAUUCCCCUGCAGCCUGGAACAGGCCCCAAAGGCAACAGCAUGAAGGCUGUCCAGAGGUUCUGCCAUCACCCUCAGCUGGGUGGGGUGCUGAGCAGUGAGGGAGGGGACCUGGGAGGGGGGCCCAGCCUGGAUCCUGCAGGGGAGAAGAGAAGACAACCAGAAGCCAGCAGUUGUGGCUCAGAUCUGAGCCCGAGCAGCCUCUCAAGGUAGAGGCAGACACCCCCCACCCCACCCUGUGCAGAAAGAAGCCUUGCCAGGCUGCCCUGAGGCUGGCACAGAGUCCAGGCAGGCUCAGUGGCCAUCAUGCCCCUACAAUGACUGUCACUCCAUCUCCGUGCGCCUGGCCUCUGCUGGCUCUGGCCAGGGGUGGUCACAGCACUAGGGUGGCAGGGUGGCCUCUGACUCUGCGCCAGCCUGCACUGGCCUGUGGUGCCCUGGCCUCUGCUGGCUCUGGCUCUGGCACCGGCCCCGUGUUGGCUCCUUCGGCCUUCACAUACCUGCUGUGGCCACCACAGGCCCAGGACCCCCAUAGGGUGGCCACCCCACCUCCACCCCAGGAGCCCCAGGUAUCCAGCUGUCACCCCCUCCCUCCCUUCUGGCCUCCCCCUGUCCUUCUCCAGUUGCCUUCUUUUCCUGUGGGCGCCCCACCCACCUGCCUGCCUCACCUGUUCCGCCUCAGCCCCCAGGGUCCCCGACAUCCUGAGCUCAGUGAGGAGGGGCUUGGGAGCCCCAGAAGCCGAGGGGCCCCUGCCCUGCCCAUCUCCGGCUCCCUUUAGCCCCCUGCCAGCCCCAUGUAAGUAGCCUGGGCCCUGCUGCUGUGGGGGUCAUGUUGGAGGGCUGGCAACCCCCUAGAGGGGCCACUCCAGAGCCGAGGGCAGGCUGAGCGUGGACCUUGGCUCCAGCCUCAUCACCCCACAAUCCCUCACUGGGGCUUUCCAGGGUGGCCCCAGCCCAUCGAGCCCCACCUCUUUGUGAGGAGGGCCCUGGACCACUUUUCUGCUCCAGGCCACUGGGCAGGAUGGGAGGUCCCGGAGGCUCGGGCCUCAAUUCCAGUCUUCAGGGUCGGUGCAGGCCUCACUCCACCUCAGCUUGCGGGCGGCGGGGCUCUUUGCUAUUGAGUCAGGCUCUGAUUCAGGGCCUGAGGGGUCUAGAACACGGGACCCCUCCUACUGGCCUCCUCCGCCUUGCCGCCGCCUGGUAUGUCUGUCUGCCUCAUGUUCACGACUCAUCUGUUCCACCCCAGCCACCAGGAUCUCUGACAUCCUGAACUCUGUGAGAAGGGGCUCAGGAACCCCAGAAGCCGAGGGCCCCCUCUCAGUGGGGCCCCCGCCCUGCCUGUCUCCGGCUCUCCUAGGCCCCUUGCCCUCCCCGUCCCCCAGGAUCUCUGACAUCCUGAACUCUGUGAGGAGGGGCUCAGGGACCCCAGAAGCCGAGGGCCCCUCGCCAGUGGGGACCCCGCCCUGCCCAUUUCCGACUAUCCCUGGCCCCCUGCCCACCCCGUCCCGGAAGCAGGAGAUCAUUAAGACCACGGAGCAGCUCAUCGAGGCCGUCAACAACGGUGACUUUGAAGCCUACGCGAAAAUCUGUGACCCAGGGCUGACCUCGUUUGAGCCUGAAGCACUGGGCAACCUGGUUGAAGGGAUGGACUUCCACAGAUUCUACUUCGAGAACCUGCUGGCCAAGAACAGCAAGCCGAUCCACACGACCAUCCUGAACCCGCACGUGCACGUCAUCGGAGAGGACGCCGCCUGCAUCGCUUACAUCCGGCUCACGCAGUACAUUGACGGGCAGGGCCGGCCCCGCACCAGCCAGUCUGAGGAGACCCGCGUGUGGCACCGCCGUGACGGCAAGUGGCAGAACGUGCACUUCCACUGCUCGGGCGCGCCUGUGGCCCCGCUGCAGUGAAGAGCUGCGCCCUGGUUUCGCCGGACAGAGUUGGUGUUUGGAGCCCGACUGCCCUCGGGCACACGGCCUGCCUGUCGCAUGUUUGUGUCUGCCUCGUUCCCUCCCCUGGUGCCUGUGUCUGCAGAAAAACAAGACCAGAUGUGAUUUGUUUAAAAAAAA